UCUGCGCUCCAGGUCCGCUACCUGGUGAAACUUGAAUUUCAGGAAAAGCGCUCCAUGGUUCCAGCGCUCCAGGUCCGCUACCUGAUCAAACUCGACUCUCGGAGGACAACGAAGACGAGGAGAGCAAGGUGGACGAAGAGAACGAGGAUUUCUGCACGGUAUAACCCGAGGUCGUUAUCGGUGGGUGUUGGAGGUGGUCUGAGGUGGACAAGAAGGAGGACGAGGAAGACGUGGAGAACACGGUGGGGGAGGAGGACGAGGAUUUGUGCUCGGUACAACCCAAGGUGGUUAUCGGUGAUCGUUGGAGGUGGUCGGAGGUGGACGAGGAG